UACAGCAGCAGCCGCCCGCUGCGGCUCCGGCUAGGGGAGCCGCCGCGGAGGGGCCGGCCGGCGCACGAGCCGGCGCGGGAGCUGUUCCAGUAGUUCGUGAGGAGGACCGCGUUCGUGAGGCGCGAGCAGAGGCGGACGUUCAGGCGGUAGCUGGAGGAGAGGCGGCGGAGGAGGAGGCGGGGGNNNNNNNNNNNNGGCAGGCGGAGCGGGUAGGGGCCGGAGGGGCGGGGGCAGCGGCUCCGGCGCGAGGUCCGCGAGGAGGAGCGGGAGCUAGGGCCGAGGGGGUUCCAGCGGCUCGGGCGGGAGCUCACGCAGCGGUCGGAGGAGAGGGAGGCGGAGGAGGAGCCGCUGCAGCGGGGGAGGCUGGGGAGCGGCCAGAGGUCCGAGAAGCGGCGCCAGGAGAGCACGCCGCCGGAGCCGCUGCUGCGGGAGCUCUAGCGGCGCGAGGCGCACGAGCAGCGGAAGCGCGCCACGGGCAGCCAGAGGCAGGCGCCCCUCACGGACCCGGUCUACCACUUCCGCACGAUAUUGGACAUGGAGCCCUCGCGGUCGCCGCCCUUGGUCGAGACGCGGUUCGACCGCGAGCGCGUCCACGACCAACAGCACAAGCGCGCGCACCUCCGCCUGCGGUACCUGCAGGCGCACGCGUGGCAGAGUCGACGGCUGUACUACCUGGAGAGGCUGGCGUCGGAGUUGCUGAGGUCGCAGCACGUCCGCCGCGUCUGCAAGUAUUUACUCCGCUACCUCCCCUCGCUGCGCGGUCUCCUACGGCGCGUACACGGCCCGCUCCCCCUGUCUCCGCCCCUCCUACUCUCGUACUCGUCCUAGUCCCUCCUACCCGACCGCAACAAGUUUUUGGAGACGUUUGACAGUUACUUCAAGCGGUGCGGACUAUUGGGCCUACUAGGACAUGAAGAGGCCCCCUUCCACAACAGUGAACUCGAUGAAUCCUACCAGCAGCUGUUACGACCCGGCAAGACCUUCUGUUUACUCUUCAUAGAACUUCGUUAGUUCGUCAUGGAAACAAAUAGGAACAACUUCUUGUCACGGUACAGUCGUUACUCGCAAAAGGUCGAAAACACGAGGUAAAAAUACCCAGAAGACAAUUCCAAAUCUAGACCAAACUUCCUCCUUUAACCUUAUAAAAAAGGAUACGAACAGGAUUCCCAAGAACUUUUACAAGAAGUCGGAUCGAAAAACGUUUUUUACUGUCAAGAUUUGAAAGACCACUUCUAAACAUUUCUUGGAGUCCAAUAAUAACUAUAGAAACACUUGAUACUAACACUGCAGCUACGUGGCUUGUAAAAACUUUCCUAACACUUGCCUGAUGAAUUCUGCCGAAAUCCACAGGGACUACCUAGUUGUUGCUGUGAUUGACAACGUGUUCUGGUUUGUAAAGCUUAACUUAGACAGUUCACGGAACGUCGACAAUAGUUUAGUUACCCAAGUACCUACCUGGUCGUCGACUCUUAACCACUUCAAGAGGGAUAUUUAAGACUUCAUGAUUCAAGUCACCUGUUAGUAUUAUACGUAUUACCUCUUCUUCCCUGUCCUUACCUAAUACUAGACGUUAGACUCAGAUCAUCGAGACUGCAUAGACUAAGAAGAAGUCAACUCGUUGCUGCACGAAUGUUUUAUCUUGAAGUCUUUCCUUAACGGAACAAAUUGUCUUUUGGAAGGUUUCCAUAACUGAAAGAGUAAGCUUCGUUCUUCAAUCCGGUCAGGGGUCUUCUACACCGAAGAAAGGACUAUUUGUGACGACCGAAUUUACGUUGUUACCAACCUCUGAUAAACCCACUUUCUCUGCUCAAAGGAGAGUUUCAGUACGUACGGAUACACCUACGUGAUUUGAAAUUUCCCAACCUAAAGCCACUCCGUUAAUCUAAGAAAGACGCUCCAAAGUCCAAUGGUCCCCUUCGUGUCUUUUAACUGUCCUAGUACCUUUUUAAACGACUUGCGAAGACAUUUACGUUGGGUUUACAAAAAUGGUCACGUCUAUGGCGAAUAUAAGAACGAAUAAGGCACUAGAACGAUUUGUGACUACGAGUGUCACAGUACCACUUCCUAUUCUACAGAUUCCGACUAAAAUACGCGUUAUUGGCCCCUUAACUACUACCCUUCCUAAAUGGACUUCGAAUGAAUUCAUGUAACAUGCUGGUUUAGCAAUCGUUACUCUAGUUUUACUCACGACUAAGAAGUCGACGUGUUUGGUUCGUUUGGUUGUCGCAUUCAUUCGAAGAUCCGAAUCUGUUGUAAUACUUGGAACAGUUAACCCCUGACUGUCUUCUGUUCCGUGUGCCGCGUUUACUGAACGAGUAAUUCGUGUAUGUACUCUUUAAAUUUCGUUUCGUACCCUUUAGUCUCAGACACAAAAUAUAACAACGACUACGUUGGUAAAAUUCCAAGUACUACCUCCGGACAACCCGAGGAUACUACCGACGCAAGUCACACUGAGAACUGGUUUCACUACUGUUCCGACGGUGUAGUGUCACAAAUUAACCUAAUUCUAGCCGUCACGUACAGUGGAGACAAUACACGGACGUCUGUGUCUCUCUACGGAAAAACUGUAGGUAUCGGUUUAAGUGUAGGGAGGUAAGACGACGUCUGUACUUUGUCUUCUUACAGCUGCGACAAUUCCGAUAUUAAAGAUAGCGUUAGCUUCUACCUUUAAUGAACGUCCUUCGAACCCUCGUGCACGAUUGUACAAAUAGUGCCAAACUUGUAAAUGUAAACGAACCUCUUCCUCAUGGAUGACUACGAAGUAAAGACUGUCACGGAUACCAACUCAGUCUUCCCUUUUGAGUCUACAGAUGAAGAUAAGAUGGAAGUUUCUCUCGGUUACGAGAAGUCUUAGGACGGCACUACCGACGACAAUCUCCCCCAAGAAUACUAUCGUGACAACGUUUUUGGUCACGGAGUGGUAACCAAUGAGGACUUGUCUAGUUAUCAAAGUAUAGUUUGUAUUUAAACGACCUGGUCUAUCCGUAACAACUCAACUUAGUAUAUAAACGGGUAUCAGUUUCCAAUUUGUCACUACGGUAACAACGAAAACACUUUCGAGAAACGUUCCAGAGUUACUGACUCAACGUCAGAGGCAGUCUAGGAGCAUAGAAGACGGAAUGUUUUUAUCAUCUCUAGCGCGUAAUGUUAUAGUUGGCGUAUGCAAACCACACCAGAGCUUAAACCUUUCAAAAUAGUCUUAAAAAACACAGACAGCCUAAUAAUCUUUUAGAAAGACAACGUUACAAGCAUUACCUGAGAGAUUCCGUCGAUCGUUACUUCAAAAACCUUUCUCUCCUUGACCGUUUGAUAUUGAAAGUUUUACUCAAGGAAGUUGGGAAGCACCACCAAUACGUCUUCUCAUUACAAGGUCUUCACGCACUCGAUUAACAAGCUACACAGAGUGUCUACCAGGAUUCAGCUCAAUUGUUGUAUUUUAGACCGACCUUCCCACAAAAAUGCCAAAAAUGAAGACGACGCCAACUACUAUGCUUCUCAUGACAGGAUCACCGUAAACCCUGAUACCUUUCUUAACAGGCACUGAUGAAAGCUAUGUAUUGGCUCUGUCUACGGUGUUGUAAAUGUCUAACACAGCUUACGGAAUAACGUAAAUGUUCAUCGGUUAAAUUAUCACUCCGGUCAGAGUUGCGAUAACGUAAAGAGGCUAAGACACGACAAUUUGAACGGCUGCUUCCUAAACAGACAGUUCUAUUCCCACGGCUACCUGGGUCCUUAAGUCUGUACAGUCUUCCUUUACGGUAACACUUGUUCUUACUAAUACAAAGGAAGACCCAAGGAGAGGAACUUCCAAAUCGGUCUAACUGUUGACUAGGUUCCGACUGGUAACCCUUUUCACGACAUCCUCACGAAAAACUAUAAAACUUCCUAGUACCCGUGGAGAAAAGCGUCAGGAAAACCUGGUCAUAUAAUCUCAGACAACAAAUAGGAGACAAAUCGUUAGUUUCCAGAUCCCAAUUACUAGUCUGGAAUUGUAGUUUGCCGUGGCUCCCACUAAAAAGUUGAGAACUUUGUGUUUGUAACCGUCACUUUAGAAAUCACCCAAAUAAACAACUAAAGAAACUGCACUACGCCGGUCUUGAACGUUCUCAACGUAGGUAACAGCGUAUAAAAUAGUCUUCAGGGAUAUUUGUAAGACGAUGGUAGCCACAUAGACGAAACGAUGCAAAUCACCUCCCUCAACCGUCAUUUGAAAGGUUCCUACUUACCUUCCUACAAGAAGAGACGAAGUUUCUUAGUAGUCGUGUUUGGAAAUAACGUAAGAGAUUUUAACAUUCCUACUACGUUCUGUAGCUGUAAGGUCUAUCUUACCUUAGAAUAAGCCUUCGACUAGUGAUAAGUCUAGUACUUUAAAUAUCAUUGCUACUUCUACUUCGAUUAUACCUCUGUUGAAGAAUGCGGUAACAGUUUGACUUUUUAGUAUACCGGGAUUAGGAGAAUUAGCAAGUCCCGUAAUAAUUUAACAUGCUCCUCGUCCCUUUUAUAGAAGUACGACUCGUGUAAUCGUAAGAAAACCUCUACUAUAGUUCAUAACGUUGAGUACGUUCACUUCACUCGAGUCUGAGAAGCAAUGUCUACUUUAAGGUAUUUAGUACAAGGGAAGACCUCCGUAGACUCGGUCGUCAACAGGUAAAGCUCUUGCUCUGUAUGGUUUCGAUGGAGUUCGAAGAGGUUCGACACGAGGUACCCAUAGGUAAGAAUAGCCUUCUGUACCUGUAUCUUAGUGCUGAUGAACUAUGGACACUCUUUUAUGACGCCUGUAUAGACUUCACGCGGCCCUUACCUGGUAGACUACUUCGAAGAGUACCGUUAGUUUGAAAUGUAACGUAUCACGGUGACCCGCGACGGUUCGUUCUCCUCGACAGACGAUCCUGGGGGAACCAAGAAGAUCGCUACGUCAAUGACGUAUUGGAUCUCUUCUUAAGUAAAUCCUCUCAUGACGGGGCGAAAAAGGGUGACAACUAACUAGACUAAGCGACGCUCGUAUCGAGACCUCUACAAGUUGUGCGCGACAUGUUUUAGAAGUUUAGUAGUUAUCCGGGAUACUAUCUUCAUAUUACCGUGUAAGGGCAGGACGAUCCGCGUGUUAAAACACUGUUGUAAGACUGUAGGACUUACUCGGGAAGGAAGUCCUAGGACCUCAAGUUCACGUAUAAUGAUCAGGUCUAUAGUCCAUAUUUCUCCUUUUAUGUAAAACGGAUGUAGGUGAAGUCGGUCACUCGAGAUAGUAGACUUGUAAACCGGUCUGUCUCCUAGUAAGGACUACUGAACAGUGAGAAAACUCGGACCAUACGCGACUCACAAGUACAUUUGCCUACUCUACAAUGUCACCAAUCGACAACAAAUCCGUCUACUCGAUACUCCUGGAACCGUGUGCCUACGGAACCUCCUGUGUGUGUUUUUAUACAACGCUCGGAUUUUUAAAGGGUUGAGACGGUUUAGGAACAUGAGGUAGGCAAGUGUUUGCAUUCUGCAAAACCUAUAAAG
rnacentral:rRNA from 1 species